rnacentral:rRNA from 1 species
UGGGAACGCGAAGAACCUUACCUACUCUUGACAUCCAGAGAACUUAGCAGAGAUGCUUUGGUGCCUUCGGGAACUCUGAGACAGGUGCUGCAUGGCUGUCGUCAGCUCGUGUUGUGAAAUGUUGGGUUAAAGUCCCGCAACGAGCGCAACCCUUAUCCUUUGUUGCCAGCGAUUCGGUCGGGAACUCAAAGGAGACUGCCAGUGAUAAACUGGAGGAAGGUGGGGAUGACGUCAAGUCAUCAUGGCCCUUACGAGUAGGGCUACACACGUGCUACAAUGGCAUAUACAAAGAGAAGCGACCUCGCGAGAGCAAGCGGACCUCAUAAAGUAUGUCGUAGUCCGGAUUGGAGUCUGCAACUCGACUCCAUGAAGUCGGAAUCGCUAGUAAUCGUGGAUCAGAAUGCCACGGUGAAUACGUUCCCGGGUCUUGUACACACCG